rnacentral:tRNA from 1 species
AGAUAAUGAAGUAAAAGCUUUACAAUUAGUUUCGACCUAAAAUUAGGAUUUAAUCCCUUAUCUA